rnacentral:tRNA from 1 species
GUGAGAAUAGCUCAGUGGUAGAGCUCAUGCUUAGUAUGCACGAGGUCCUGAGUUCAAUUCCCAGUACCUCCA